rnacentral:rRNA from 1 species
GACGAAGGAUGCAAGCGUUUAUCCGGAUUCAUUGGGUUUAAAGGGUGCGUAGGCGGACUUGUAAGUCAGUGGUGAAAUCUCUCAGCUUAACUGAGAAACUGCCAUUGAUACUGCAGGUCUAGAGUAUAGAUGACGUUGGCGGAAUAUGACAUGUAGUGGUGAAAUACUUAGAUAUGUCAUAGAACACCGAUUGCGAAGGCAGCUAACGAAACUAUAACUGACGCUGAGGCACGAAAAGUGCGGGGAUCAAACAGG